ensembl:miRNA mir204-1 microRNA 204-1
UUCCCUUUGUCAUCCUAUGCCUGGAGUAAUAGAGGGGGCUGGGAAGU